UUUCCGUGAAUUUCAUGUUGCACCAGGCUGUCCUGAUGCGCUUGGUUUAGCUUUCCAAACUUUAAUUGGAAUUCCCAGAGGUGGGUCCCUAAGGUCUGCAACUUGAGCGAGUGCCUCCGUUGACUCCUGUAAACAGCAUCUGCAUUGCAGCCACGGAACUGGGCUUCCCAAAACAAAUGAGAGCAACGGCUUCCCUAGUUAAUACCACCUCUCUAGCAAGGUACACCUGUGUCCUUCAUCAUCUGCCUUCUGCCUACCUGACCAGACUCAGGAGACUGGUGGGAGCACUAGGACAAGCGGGACCUCCCCAGGGGUCCUGCUGAGUGUCCAUAGUCCUUCUGCCUGUGAGAACCUGCUGCUGUCUCAUGGACUGCCUCCCACCACACUGACCAGGUCGUUCCCAGAUGAAAUGACUGAGAAGACUUCUCCUCCAGAAAGGCCUCAGCACCUUGGAAUGAGAUGGAGCUGGCCAGGGGACGGACAGCAGCCUCUGCCCUCUCUGUGGCAGCACAGCAGACGCCUCCUGUCAGCAUUCUCCUCCUGACCCUGUGCAGCACCCCAGGGCCCCGUGCCUCCUGCCCUCUGCUGGCCUCUCUGGCUCCCUGUGCCCUUUCACAAUAGAACAAGGGUGCUUAGUGUGGCUUCUCUCCUCAGAGAGGCAGAUUCUGUGCCUUAUCAGGCCGCUGGACAGUCACCCCCUGGGGGAUUCAGGAGUGUUUCUGAGUGUGUCCAGCUCUUCUCCCUCUCUUGUCCUGGAGCCCUGGCUUUGACAAUGGCACUGGGACCCCCCUCCCUCCCUCCACUUCCUACACUUGGCUCCAUAAGCCCUCUCGUCCAGUGCUGGCCCUCUCUCACAGCCCGUCACAGGCAUCUCCUGAUGCCCACUCCCAACCCCCCACCGCCACUCCACCCGCCGCCCACCGCCCCUGCCUCUCAGGCUCUGUAUUCUUCCUAGAGCAGGUGCACCACACAGAGACCAGGGGCACUGGGUAUGUUGUUUGGGUUUCAUUAUAACUUAUUGCAAAAACCUUAAUUGAGUUCUUAUUCAAGGACAUCAGUUACUGCUGUUGUUAUUAUUAUUGUUAUCCCUAUUAUUAUCCCUAUUAUCAUUUUUCUAAAAGGACUGUAUAUUUACCUCAUCUGUGAAAUUAAUGCAAUUAUAACUCCUUCAAAAGCUUUUUGAUCAGCAUUUCCUGUGUGUGUGUAUCCACACCUGGCUUCAAAGUACUUGCUAUUGAAACAUCUCUGCAGUGGAAAUUGUAAGCCCUAUUUUACAUGUAAUAAAGGAGAAGUUUCCAUUAAACAUA